UCCAUCCCAGACCAAUUGUUUCAGGAUCACUAGGCAUCAGUAUUUUUUCAAGCCUCCCCAGGUGGUUUGUACAUGCAACCAGCUUUGAGAACUGCUAGUUUAAAGCAAAGACCAGAGGGAGACAAUAAACAGACACACCUGUAGUUGUUCCCAAACUUUAUUAUAGGGAAAAGUCACCUGGAGAACUUGUUUAAAUUGUGGAUUCUCCCAAAACCACCCCACCCUAGCCCCAGAAGAUCAGAUUCAGUUGAUCUGGAUGAGCCUAGGGCUCUACAUUUGCCACAAUCUCCGCAGUGAUCCUGAGGGAGGAGAAACCCCAGGGAAAAUAUGGCUAAUGAGGAUGAAAAAACAGACAAGAGGUGGAACUUCAAUGAAGAGGAAAACUCUUCCUAGCCUUGGUCGAGAGCGAGCACACUAAAACUCUGCCCUGAAAGAGGUGCAUGACAUCUAGUUUGAAUAGAAGACUCCUGAAUUAUAACUCUUUUUCUUUCUGUAAUUCAUAGAUAUUAUUCCAGUCUUCUGCAUUCUAGUGUUGCAGAUGCUCUUUAUUUAGAUGAGGAAGCUACCUUCUGUUUGCUGAAUGUAUUAUUAUAAAUCUCCAAGUGUUUCUUGAACUCAUGGGGGAAACCCCCUCACUAGUAGUCUCUGCUGGUGCUUCUACAGAACUGAAGACUUCACGGAACCUGGGAGCCUACAGACCUCAGUAAAGGCCUAACUAAGAAGAUAUAGCUGAAUAAAAAUUGGACAACAAAGAAAGAUGUCAAUGUUUCUAUUGCCAUCAGGCAAUAUUAAUUUUAACUUUUAAGAUGUUUAUUUUGGGCCUUCCCCCACGUGUCACUCCCUUAGUACUGUUUUCUAGGAGAUAAAAGCUACAUUCAUAAAAUAAUCCAUGUUGUUGGUUAAUAAUUUAUUCUUUCAAUGAAAGUUGUUUGCAUUUCAAUCACAACCUUUUAUAAACACUAACUUAAUCUAAAGGCAUGUAUCUGUUUGUAGGACUUUUAAAUAUGACAAGCUAGGGAGGAAGACAUUUUCUUUGUGAAUCCCAUUAUAAUCAUCCUAGAAAUGGAAUUGCUGUAGCAUAGGAUGUGAACACAUUCAGCUUUCUUAGAUAUUACUAGGAAUUUUACCAAUAGCAGUGCAUAAAACUGUUGUUACUCCUCACCCUCUGCAACGCUUGAAGGUAUAAGAUAUUUAAAGUUAUAGAAGUCUGAUAUGUGUAAAAUAUUAAAUUAUUGUGACUUUAAUUUUUAUUAUUUAUUAUUUGCCAUUUGGAUAACUUCUUCUGUGAAUUUACUGUUCAUAUUACUUGUUUGACGCUAGAUUUUUUUU
rnacentral:lncRNA from 1 species